AACGAACGCUGGCGGCAUGCCUAACACAUGCAAGUCGAACGAGACCUUCGGGUCUAGUGGCGCACGGGUGCGUAACGCGUGGGAACCCGCCCUUAGGUUCGGAAUAACUCCCCGAAAGGGGUGCUAAUACCGGAUAAUGUCUUCGGACCAAAGAUUUAUCGCCUUUGGAUGGGCCCGCGUUGGAUUAGCUAGUUGGUAGGGUAAAAGCCUACCAAGGCGACGAUCCAUAGCUGGUCUGAGAGGAUGAUCAGCCACACUGGGACUGAGACACGGCCCAGACUCCUACGGGAGGCAGCAGUGGGGAAUAUUGGACAAUGGGCGAAAGCCUGAUACAGCAAUGCCGCGUGAGUGAUGAAGGCCUUAGGGUUGUAAAGCUCUUUUACCCGGGAUGAUAAUGACAGUACCGGGAGAAUAAGCUCCGGCUAACUCCGUG
rnacentral:rRNA from 1 species